rnacentral:rRNA from 1 species
UACUAGAGUAGCACUCGCAUAUCAAUAAGCGGAGGAAAAGAAACUAACAAGGAUUCCCCUAGUAACGGCGAGUGAAGCGGGAAGAGCUCAAAUUUGAAAUCUUAAAGGGUUUCCCUUUACGAAUUGUAGUUUAAAGAAGUGUUUUCUGUUGAGGUUUUGGUAAAAGUUCUUUGGAAUAGGACAUCAUAGAGGGUGAGAAUCCCGUAUUUGACCUUUACUUUCAACUUUGUGAUACACUUUCAAAGAGUCGGAUUGUUUGGGAAUGCAGUCCAAAAUGGGUGGUAAAUUUCAUCUAAAGCUAAAUAUUGGCGAGAGACCGAUAGCGAACAAGUACCGUGAGGGAAAGAUGAAAAGAACUUUGAAAAGAGAGUUAAACAGUACGUGAAAUUGUCAAAAGGGAAGCGUUUGACACCAGUGUUGUUUUUCUGAAAAUCAAUUAAAGAACUGUUUAUGCUAAGCUUGUUUAGACUUUAUCAGCUAACUGUUUAGUUUUGAGCUUUUCUUUAAUGCACUUUUCAGUUAACAAGUCAACAUCAAUUUCUUUCGCUGUAAAAAAGCUUGAGGAAGGUGGCCUGAGAUUCGUCUUAAGUGUUUAUAGCCUCUUGCCUAUGCAGUCGGAGAGAUUGAGGUCUGCUAGCGUAGAUCCUUCGGGGCUAAAUGCAUUUGUGCUAAGUUAUAGCAUUUUAUAGACAACUUGUUGACUAUGAUUUGUCUUGUAGCUUACUCGCUUAUGUUAUUUUACCUACGCUUAGGAUGUUGAGCGCAUGUCUCUCUCU